UUAAAUAUGCUAGCUCCUGCUUAUUCUUUCUUUCUUUCUUUCUUUCUUUCUUUCUUUCUUUCCUUUUCUUUUUACUUUCCACUCCUCUGCUCUGCUUCUAUUUUAAGGACUGAAAAUGAAGUAAGGAAUAAGACAGGUUAGUUUCCAUUUAUGUGUAGUCUUACUUUCUAGUGGAAAAAAAAACCCAAGGCCACAAGUAAAUGCUCUGAAGAAAAUAAAACACUGCAAGUGAGAAGAGGGUAGGAGGACAAGAGAGGAUGCUGGAAGUACAGUUGGAAGCCAUUGAAGAAUUCCAGGUGAUCGUGAUGGUUUGAAUUAUGGACUAAUUAAAAGAAGAACCAAUGAGACCAGACAUAAGGAGGGAAACUUAAGAAAAAAGAAAGAAGAAAGAAGUCUUUUCCAAACUCUAUCAACCAGUGGUCAAAGAUAUGGAGGUUAAAGGAAGAGAAGAAAAGUAAGCUUAAGGAAAUCGAACGCUGAGAAGCCUGUGAACUUGUCACAUCAGUGUGCAGCCUGGACAACUGACAGACCCAACACCAAAUGCUGUGGUUCCUUUUGCAAUCGUCUGUAAUUCUCCAACUCUGAGCAACAGGUUUGGAGGUCUCUCUGAACCCAGCUCCAGAGGAAACACUGGAUACACAAGUAUAACUUAAUUGGCAAUGUACAUGCGGACAUUAAGGAAGGCUGGGUAGACAGGAAUUGUAUACAAAGAGCCUACAGCUACUAAUGUAUAAUCUUGUAACAAAACUGCACCAUCACCUCUGUCCAGGUAACACGCUGAGUCCCUUCAAGAAUGGCUCCCGGGAACCUGCUGAGAUACACCUGCAAAACCCACAACUCAGCAGAAUCCCUCCGGCUCUCAUCCUGUGGUUUUCAUGUUCCUUCUGGAGUUUCAAAAACUCACUGAUGUUUCAGGUGUGGAAGGAACCUUAGAGAUCAUCUCUACUGGUUUCACAGAGAAGGGGACUGAGACUGAGAGUGGUUAAGCGUGUUGCCCAGGGUCACAUAGAAAGGCAGCGUUGGAGUCAGAGCUCAGGAGUAGGUCUCAGUAAAAAAUAAAGCUGGGAAACCCCUGAGCGAUCAUCACUGUGUCCUAUCUAUUUAAGAGGUGUAAAAUAAAGGAUCGAGGAGGACAAGUUCAAAUGCUAUAGACCUCAUGGAGCCUAAACAGAACUUGAGGCUUCACUCUACUCAUUCAUGUGUCCAUCAAUUUAAGAGAUGUUUACUGAGUACCUACUAUGUGCUAGGUGCUGGAGGUGAAAUGGUUAUCCAAGUACACAUAGCCCCUUCCCUCACAGAGUCUAAAAUAUAGGGCAAGAAAUAUAUAUCAAUCAAAUUGUCACACAAGCAUAUACUAGCAAAAUGUGACGGGCGCUAUGAGUGUUAGAAGGGUGGGAUAUGGUCUAGUCAAAGGGGCUAGAUAUCAUAUGAGGGCUGGGAUUGAAUGAAUAGAGAUUGAUAGGUGAAGUGUGUUGAGGUGGGUAAAACAUAAUUCUAAACAGAGGGAAUGGCAUGUGCAAGGGGCCUGAGGUACGAAGAAGCUUGGCCCAUUACAGUAAUUACAGAAAGCUUGUGAUGGAUGUGUGCCCAGAAUGAGAAGGGAUGAGUCUGGUAAGGUGGUCCGAUUACUUUGUGGGGUUUAGUUCUUUGUCCUAAGACAUAGGGAGAGCAAAUCAAGGCUUAGAGGGGCAUGCAAAUGGCAUGCAAAAAUAGAACACUUUGUUUCCAUUGUAGCACAUGUUAUAUUGAAUUUCAAUGUUGCUCCCAUGGUUGGUCCUUAAGUGUAACCAUUGCUUGAAUCAUGUCUAUUUCUAUC